rnacentral:misc_RNA from 1 species
GAUGAAGAACGUAGCGAAAUGCGAUAAGUAAUGUGAAUUGUAGAAUUCAGUGAAUCAUCGAAUCUUUGAACGCACCUUGCGCCCCUUGGUUAUUCCAAAGGGCAUGCCUGUUUGAGUAUCAUGAACACCUCAACUCUUGUGGUUUCCCACAAUGAGCUUGGACUGUGGAGGUUUUGUUGGCCCUGUGGUCAGCUCCUCUCAAAUGGAUCAGCUUACCGGUGUUUGGUGGCAUUACGGGUGUGAUAACUAUCUACGCUCGUGGUCGUCUCCAAAUAACCUCCAGUGAUGGAGGUUCGCUGGAGCUUAUAAAUGUCUCUCCCCAGUGAAGACAGCCUUUGAACGUUCGAUCUCAAAUCAGGUAGGACUACCCGCUGAACUUAAGCAUAUCAAUAAGCGGAGGA